GACGAGGCUCACGAACGUUAUUCGGAAUUACUGGGCUUAAAGGGUGCGUAGGCGGUCUUAUAAGUCAGUGCUGAAAUAUCCCGGCUUAACCGGGAGGGUGGCAUUGAUACUGUAGGACUUGAGUAGAGUCGAGGUAGGCGGAAUUGACGGUGUAGCGGUGAAAUGCUUAGAUAUCGUCAAGAACACCGAUAGUGUAGACAGUUUACUAGGCUCAAACUGACGCUGAGGCACGAAAGUGUGGGGAUCAAACAGG
rnacentral:rRNA from 1 species